UUAAUUAAAUCGACCAAUGGGAGAGAGUCUUUUUGCCACGUCGGAUGCAUCACUCAAAAUCAGUUGGGCUUUAUUUCGUUUGGCCCAUAUUAGGUUUAUCAGGUCACGUAGAUGAAACGCUGCGUAAUAGAUUUCGCGACUCCAGACCUGGUGGCGACUUUGUCUGCGCGCUGACCUUCCAUCUUCUUCCCCUGGCAAAUCCUGUAACCGAUUCAUCACCUUAAAGUCCUCAAUUAAUCGAGCAGGCACGAUCUAGAUUCAAUGCGACCUUUAAGGUUUCAGAGACGGUAGAGUUCGACUAUAAAUAGGCUGGACACUCCUCUUCCACCGUCAAGUUCGCUUACUCCGCUUUUGUGAGGCCUGAAACGUCCGACCUGGUGGAGAGCUCAUGGGCAUCGACAUGCUUUUAAUCGUCUCUCAGUCGACCAUGAUGCCGGUGACUGUGAAUGUCAACCGCCUUGCGACGCACCAGCCUAACCUUGAAGCGGGAUCGGUCUACUCUUUAGCUCCACGAACUCCAGUUACCUGCAGCGCGAAACAGAGAGGGUUUGUCCUCAAGAAGAUAGAAUCAUUGAUGGUGUCAUAACUGAGUUCUUAUGUGCUCAACUUCCACCGCAGGACUACUAUCAAGCUUUCAGAUUGAACCCACUUAAUCCAUUUUCAGGGCAUAAGAUAUGAUGUCAUUGGGAGACUUAAAUCCUACAAGCAUGUUUGGAGCAGUGGUUUCAGAUAUGGAUUAAGGGUAUUCAGGAAGGAGAAGAAAACUUGAGUUAUAUUUAGUUAUGUAGAGCAUCAUGUUUCACAGUGCCUUGAACAAGACAUGAACCAAGAUCGCUUGGUCUCAUGGAGCCAACAUAGCGAAACUGAUAAAGAGGAAAGAAGGCUGAUCAUCAGCAGGACACAAGGAUCGAUGACAAUAUGGCGACGCUGGUGACUUCCACCCUACAGACGUCCUUAUACCAGUUGGUUUGAUGAUUCUGAGAAGUUAGGGACUCUUGAUCUUUGCAUUCCAGCGCAGAAAGAUACCCAGAUUUAGUGCUAUAAUCUCCUGAUGGAAUCUUAAGCCACACCCGUCUGUCCGGAGCCCCGACCAAGCUUGGUUUGAUGAGUCUGAUACUCUGUUACUCUGUUGGCAAUACUCUUCAAUCGAAGCAAACUCAACAUAGGCAAAUUCACAGAAACUGCCAUGGCGUCCUAUAGCCAUUGUAACAUUAACAACUUGGCCAGCUUAUUUGAAGAAGCUCCUCGCUGGAGGAAAACAAUAGUAAAAUCAAUGGAAAACUUUCAAAAAAAUAACCAAAGGUGUGUGUGUGUGUGUGUUUUUUUUUUAUAACCAAAGGUGUGUUAUAGUUGCAUAUCUAAUCUUUAACAAUUGGUAUACGAGAUUUCAACGUUUCAAAAGAAAGAGUUCCAACGUACUAAGUGUGGUUCCAAU